rnacentral:tRNA from 1 species
GCCACCGUAAUCUAGUCCAGUCAAGAUACCCACCCCGUAAGCGGGGAGACGUGGGAUCGAAGCCCACCGGUGGCU